rnacentral:rRNA from 1 species
UCUGACACUGUUGCCUCCGGGGCGACCCGGCCUGCCUUCGGGCGAUUCGGGGCCCCGGGUGGACCAUUCAACUCUGCAUCUUUGCGUCUGAGUAAAUGAUUGAAUCAAUCAAAACUUUCAACAACGGAUCUCUUGGUUCUGGCAUCGAUGAAGAACGCAGCGAAAUGCGAUAAGUAAUGUGAAUUGCAGAAUUCAGUGAAUCAUCGAAUCUUUGAACGCACAUUGCGCCCCUUGGUAUUCCGAGGGGCAUGCCUGUUCGAGCGUCAUUACACCACUCAAGCCUCGCUUGGUAUUGGGCGCCGCGGUCCGCCGCGCGCCUCAAUGUUUCCGGCUGAGCUCUCUGUCUCUAAGCGUUGUGGUUAAAACUAUCCGCUUGCGAGAUCGGGGGGCGUCUGGCCGCUAAACCAUUACUCAAAGGUUGACCUCGGAUCAGGUAGGGAUACCCGCUGAACUUAAGCAUAUCAAUAAGCGGAGGAAAAGAAACCAACAGGGAUUGCCCUAGUAACGGCGAGUGAAGCGGCAACAGCUCAAAUUUGAAAUCUGGCGCAAGCCCGAGUUGUAAUUUGUAGAGGAUGCUUCUGGGCAGCGGCCGGUCUAAGUUCCUUGGAACAGGACGUCACAGAGGGUGAGAAUCCCGUAUGUGAUCGGUUGGCACCCGCUACGUAGCUCCUUCGACGAGUCGAGUUGUUUGGGAAUGCAGCUCUAAAUGGGAGGUAAAUGCCUUCUAAAGCUAAAUACCGGCCAGAGACCGAUAGCGCACAAGUAGAGUGAUCGAAAGAUGAAAAGCACUUUGGAAAGAGAGUUAAAAAGCACGUGAAAUUGUUGAAAGGGAAGCGCAUGCAACCAGACUUGUCCGCGGUGUUCCGCCGGUCUUCUGACCGGUCUACUCGCCGCGGGCAGGCCAGCAUCAUCUGAGAGCGCCGGAUAAAGGUAGCGGGAAUGUGGCCCCUC